rnacentral:rRNA from 1 species
UACGAAGGGGGCUAGCGUUGCUCGGAAUGACUGGGCGUAAAGGGCGCGUAGGCGGUUCGUACAGUUGGAUGUGAAAUUCCCGGGCUCAACCUGGGGGCUGCAUUCAAUACGUGCGGGCUUGAGCUCGGAAGAGGGUCGUGGAAUUCCCAGUGUAGAGGUGAAAUUCGUAGAUAUUGGGAAGAACACCGGUGGCGAAGGCGGCUCACUGGCUCAUUUCUGACGCUCAGGCGCGACAGCGUGGGGAUCAAACAGG